rnacentral:rRNA from 1 species
UACGUAGGUGACGAGCGUUGUCCGGAUUUACUGGGCGUAAAGAGCGUGUAGGCGGCCCGGUAAGUCCGCUGUAAAAGUCAAAGGCUCAACCUUUGAAUGUCAGUGGAUACUGCCGGGCUAGAGUCCGGAAGAGGCGAGUGGAACUCCUGGUGUAGCGGUGGAAUGCGCAGAUAUCAGGAAGAACACCAACGGCGAAGGCAGCUCGCUAGGACGGUACUGACGCUGAGACGCGAAAGCGUGGGGAGCGAACAGG